rnacentral:rRNA from 1 species
AUUGAACGCAGGCGGCAGGCUUAACACAUGCAAGUCGAGCGGGGGAAGGUAGCUUGCUACCGGACCUAGCGGCGGACGGGUGAGUAAUGCUUAGGAAUCUGCCUAUUAGUGGGGGACAACAUCUCGAAAGGGAUGCUAAUACCGCAUACGUCCUACGGGAGAAAGCAGGGGACCUUCGGACCUUGCGCUAAUAGAUGAGCCUAAGUCGGAUUAGCUAGUUGGUGGGGUAAAGGCCUACCAAGGCGACGAUCUGUAGCGGGUCUGAGAGGAUGAUCCGCCACACUGGGACUGAGACACGGCCCAGACUCCUACGGGAGGCAGCAGUGGGGAAUAUUGGACAAUGGGGGGAACCCUGAUCCAGCCAUGCCGCGUGUGUGAAGAAGGCCCUAUGGUUGUAAAGCACUUUAAGCGAGGAGGAGGCUACUUUAGUUAAUACCUAGGGAUAGUGGACGUUACUCGCAGAAUAAGCACCGGCUAACUCUGUGCCAGCAGCCGCGGUAA